rnacentral:rRNA from 1 species
ACAGUGGACGCGAGCAUCUGUGGCCAAGUUUUUAAGGGCGCACGGUGGAUGCCUUGGCACCAGGAACCGAUGAAGGACGUGGGAGGCCACGAUAGUCCCCGGGGAGUCGUCAACCAGGCUUUGAUCCGGGGGUUUCCGAAUGGGGAAACCCGGCAGUCGUCAUGGGCUGUCACCCGCUGCUGAACACAUAGGCAGUGUGGAGGGAACGCGGGGAAGUGAAACAUCUCAGUACCCGCAGGAAGAGAAAACAACCGUGAUUCCGGGAGUAGUGGCGAGCGAAACUGGAUGAGGCCAAACCGUAUACGUGUGAGACCCGGCAGGGGUUGCGUAUGCGGGGUUGUGGGAUCUCUUUUUCAUAGUCUGCCGGCUGUGAGACGAGUCAGAAACCGUUGAUGUAGGCGAAGGACAUGCGAAAGGUCCGGCGUAGAGGGUAAGACCCCCGUAGUCGAAACAUCAGCGGCUCGUUUAAGAGACACCCAAGUAGCACGGGGCCCGAGAAAUCCCGUGUGAAUCUGGCGGGACCACCCGUUAAGCCUAAAUAUUCCCUGGUGACCGAUAGCGGAUAGUACCGUGAGGGAAUGGUGAAAAGUACCGCGGGAGCGGAGUGAAAUAGUACCUGAAACCGUGUGCCUACAAGCCGUGGGAGCGUCGCUGUAUGUGCUUGCACAUACAGUCGUGACUGCGUGCCUUUUGAAGAAUGAGCCUGCGAGUUUGCGGUGUGUUGCGAGGUUAACCCGUGUGGGGAAGCCGUAGCGAAAGCGAGUCCGAAUAGGGCGGUUUAGUAGCGCGCUCAAGACCCGAAGCGGAGUGAUCUAGCCAUGGGCAGGUUGAAGCGGAGGUAAGACUUCGUGGAGGACCGAACCCACCAGGGUUGAAAACCUGGGGGAUGACCUGUGGUUAGGGGUGAAAGGCCAAUCAAACUCCGUGAUAGCUGGUUCUCCCCGAAAUGCAUUUAGGUGCAGCGUCGUGUGUUUCUUGCCGGAGGUAGAGCACUGGAUAGGCGAUGGGCCCUACCGGGUUACUGACCUUAGCCAAACUCCGAAUGCCGGUAAGUGAGAGCACGGCAGUGAGACUGUGGGGGAUAAGCUCCAUGGUCGAGAGGGAAACAGCCCAGAGCAUCGACUAAGGCCCCUAAGCGUACGCUAAGUGGGAAAGGAUGUGGAGUCGCACAGACAACCAGGAGGUUGGCUUAGAAGCAGCCACCCUUGAAAGAGUGCGUAAUAGCUCACUGGUCUAGUGAUUCCGCGCCGACAAUGUAGCGGGGCUCAAGCGUACCGCCGAAGUCGUGUCAUUGCAGUAAUACGCCCAACGGCGGCUGUGAUGGGUAGGGGAGCGUCGUGUGCCGGGUGAAGCAGCCGCGGAAGCGAGUUGUGGACGGUUCACGAGUGAGAAUGCAGGCAUGAGUAGCGAUACACACGUGAGAAACGUGUGCGCCGAUUGACUAAGGGUUCCUGGGUCAAGCUGAUCUGCCCAGGGUAAGUCGGGACCUAAGGCGAGGCCGACAGGCGUAGUCGAUGGAUAACCGGUUGAUAUUCCGGUACCCGCUGUGAAGCGUCAAACAUCGAAUCCAGUGAUGCUAAGGCCGUGAAGCCGUUCCGGACCCUUCGGGGAAUGGAAAGUGGUGGAGCCGCCGGUCCAAUCUGGUAGUAGGUGAGUGAUGGGGUGACGCAGGAAGGUAGUCCAGCCCGGGCGGUGGUUGUCCCGGGGUAAGGGUGUAGG